rnacentral:rRNA from 1 species
UACGUAGGGGGCGAGCGUUGUCCGGAUUUAUUGGGCGUAAAGAGCGUGUAGGCGGCUAGGUAGGUCCGCUGUGAAAACUUGAGGCUCAACCUCAAGAGGUCGGUGGAAACCAUCUGGCUAGAGUCCGGAAGAGGAGAGUGGAAUUCCCGGUGUAGCGGUGAAAUGCGCAGAUAUCGGGAAGAACACCCGUGGCGAAGGCGGCUCUCUGGGACGUUACUGACGCUGAGACGCGAAAGCGUGGGGAGCAAACAGG